AGUGGAGCUGUUUGGGAAGGAUUAGGAGAGUGGCUUUGUUGGAGGAGCUAUGUCACUGGGCUAGACUCUGAGGUUCCAAAAGAGCCAUUCCAGUGUUUCUCUGCCUCAUGCUUUCAGAAGACGUGGGUGCUCAGCUGUCCUUGCCUUUGUCUUCAUUCCCCCAUCAUGGACUCUAACCACUGAAACGGGCCUGCUUCCGCUCCAACUCCAACUGUUCCAGCUGUGCCAUGGCCUCCUGCAAUGCCUGCUCCUUCAUGACACGCUGCUGUUCCAGCUCCUGC
rnacentral:lncRNA from 1 species